rfam:Xenopus laevis strain J chromosome 6S, whole genome shotgun sequence.
UGAGGCCCUGAUCGAAGCCGGGUUAGUGGUUCAAGUAACUGACCUGGUCAAACAGAGGCCGACAUCAACUUUCCUCUGACGGUCGCUGCUCCGGCUGCUGUGCUGGGGAUCAGCAACAUUGAGGGGAAAUACAGCC